AUGCUUUUCCUAAAGAUUAAGCCAUGCAUGCCUUCGAAUAAGAGGAAGCAAUUCUCUCUGAAUCUGCGAACGGCUCCGCAAACCAGUUGUAAACCCGAGUAAGCACGCUUAGCCCACGGGGUUCCCUCACGGGGCUCAGGCUAAGCUACAUGGAUAACCGUGGUAAUUCUGAGGCUAAUACAUGACAGUACGCAAGCUCGGUCUGCACCAGUUUCCCUCGUGGAAACCGCAGGCUGAGUGGGUGUGCGAUCUUCAGCUUGGGGAUUCGUGAACAGAACGCACAUUUAGACCACCGUCAAUGGCUCUACGGUCCCUCGGGAUCUAAGCGGCUAGGUGGCUCUUACUACGUGCUUCUGACCUAUCAACUAGACGGCAGCGUAACGUACAUGCCGUGGUUACAACGGGUACAGAGGAUUAGAGUUCGAUUCUGGAGAGUGGGCCUGAGAGAUUGCUCAUACUUCUAAGGAAGGCAGCAGGCGCGCAACGUUCCCAGUGGGCAAUGCCCGAGGGCGUUAGGGGAAAUAUGAAUGCCUGCCAAUAAGGCGGGCAAUUCAAAUGGGUCUGUUGUAAAUAGGCUCU
rnacentral:rRNA from 1 species